CACUGUUUCAUCCCCUCUCUCCGCAGGAGGCCGGGCUGCAGCAGCUGCAGGGGCACCCACGGCUGGAGAAGGAGGGGUCCCGCAGGGCCUACUACCGUGAGUUCAGGAAGGUGAUCCAAGCAGCUGACGUGGUCCUCGAGGUGCUGGAUGCCCGAGACCCCCAGGGCUGUCGCUGUCCCCAGGUGGAGGAGGCCGUGCUGCAGGCCGGGGGCAA